UGAGCAUAAGCACAUCAGCAAGGGUAGGAGAAGCAGGGCCAUGUCCAAAUACAAAGGCAUUGAGGGUAUCUGACCAAAAGUAUGAAGCAGCUAUCAACAGUGACUCAUUCCUCUCCAUAUCGGCAAUGGAUAGCCUAAUGCACUGGUCUAGUUUCCGCUCACCCCAUUGGACUUCAUUCGAGCUGCCGAUUCUCAAGAACAAAUCUUUCCAUCCCUUGGUAGGACUGGGCUAGGAUCGGAAAGUGUCUUUCCACAGAUCUAAAGAGAAGUUUUUGGCUCUAAAGGGAAUCCUAUUUGUCUCUGCAUUUAUCAAAUCGGUAGGAUCUGGGUUUCCUAAUGGACCAAGACACUGGAAGUGGGGUUGAUCGGUAGGGAUCACAAUCUUAUCGGCCAAUUCUUAAAAGAUUUGAAGGAUUGAAAGAACAGAAAAGAAACAAAAAAAACAUACUCAGUAAGUAGAUUCACAAAGGAGUAAGAGUACAACAGGAGUAUGGUAAAAAGAAGAAGG
rnacentral:lncRNA from 1 species